UGUUAAAAGUUUUAUCCAUUUGUAUUGUUAAAAACUAGUGUGGUUGACGGAAUAACCAGAUUGUGGUAUGUUGUGUGCCAUGUGUACCUUCGACGUACAAUGGCCAGUUUUUAAAAGUAGGAAUGGAUAGAAUUUUUGACA
rfam:Gossypium arboreum cultivar AKA8401 contig_50381_1, whole genome shotgun sequence.